AAAAAAAAUUUAGUCUCAAUCUACAUGGGUUCCCACCUGAAAUCUGAAGUCAGUGAGCCACCGUUGGUGGAAAAGUAUGGCUCCCCUAGUUUCUACGGCAAUCCUAACGCCAGGCUCCGAGGAAGAGGUGGGACCGCCACCGUGCGCUCACGUCUGCGGGUAGCGCCUGGAAGGGAUCCAAUGAACAUAUUUCCCUAUAGUUGAGCUAUAGGACUCCUAUUGGCCAAUAGAGAAAAAUGUAAGGAACUCUAGGCUCUGUGUUUCUGCCUUCACCCUGAGAACAUCACACCCAGGCCAGCAGUCUCCCAGGAGAACAGGAGAUUCACAGAGCAGAACCCACUUCAUUGUCGCGGACAAGGCGUGGAAGUGGACAAGGAGCAUGGCCAGUGCUAGGUCUUCGCACAUUUAUGGGACCCGCUAAUGGGGAUAAUGCCAGGAAUAGUCAAGGUUCUCAUUCAUCGCGUCACCCGGAGUGGAUGUGGAGUCUAAAUUCUCCUCUCGGCGGGGGCACCUGGAGGACGCGGAUGCCAUGACCAGAAUCACUUCCUCCCUCCCUCCCCAGGCCCUGCAGAGAGGCGGGCAGAAGUGCGCAGGUGCGGGGGGAACGGCGGUGAGAAGCUGGUGGGGUUGGAGCUGAGCGGAGAAGACUCGCGGCCAACACUGCAGCUCCUGAGGCCGACCCUCUCCCAGGGUGACCGUGUUCCCAACUGUGAAACGAUCCAGACCACUGGAGACCAGGUGGAGACCGGAUCCCGGGAUGCCCGGCCCAUUGCUUCUCCUCCAUUUGCCAAACCAGCGAUGAGGCCCCUGCACAGGACAUCAUGGAGAAGGGGGGUCGGAGGGAGAACGCCUGCCCAGCAGUGAUGGAGAUGCCUAACAGAAGUGCUCUAAACAGAACAGAGAUGGUGAAAUGGUGAUGCUGCGACGAGAAAGAACAAUGUGAGUAAACACAACAGAUUUUUCUUCUUCUGAGUUUUCUGAAUUAUGAUAGCUCAUUGAAGCAAAAAGAAUGACACUGUCUAAUGUAGUUCUUUCCUUUUCUUUUAAAAGAUUUGUUUUAUUUAUUUGAAAGGGUUAGAGGAAGGGAGAGAAAAAGAGAGAGAGAGAGAGCGCUUUCAUCCCCUGGUUCACUCCCCAAAUGGCCAAAAUGACCAGGGUUGUAUUGGGCUAAGCCAGGAGCCAGGAGCUUCCAGGUCUCCCACAUGUGUGCAAGGGCCCAAGUAUUUGGGUCAUCUUCCACUGCUUUCCCAGGCAUAUUAGCAUCUAAGGUAGUUCUAAAUGCACAUAGAGGAAUUUACGAGAUAAUUACAUUUUAAGUGAGACUAGAGAGAUGGGACAUAGAGCGAGGCAAGGUUUCUAUAAUGCUGACACCAGUGGACUAUAACUUAUGUGUACCUGUAAUACCUAAAGCAGUCACUCAAAAGUUAUACAAAGAGAGAAACUCCCAAACACUACAGAAAAAUACAUUGGGAUCACAAAAAAAUAUUCAGGUAAGCCACCGAAAGGCAGAACAAAGUGAACAAGAAAAUUUUAAAUGGAGAUGAAAAAGAUGAUAACAAUAAAGUGACAUAAUUAAACCCA
rnacentral:lncRNA from 1 species